rnacentral:rRNA from 1 species
ACAUGCAAGUCGAACGAACCAUCCUGAAGAUUGAAGCUUGCUUCAUGAUUCAGAUUUUGGUGAGUGGCGGACGGGUGAGUAACACGUGGGUAACCUGCCCAAAAGUGGGGGAUAACAUUUGGAAACAAGUGCUAAUACCGCAUAACAACUACUUUCACAUGAUCGUAGCUUGAAAGAUGGCUCUGCUAUCGCUUUUGGAUGGACCCGCGGCGUAUUAGCUAGUUGGUGAGGUAAUGGCUCACCAAGGCAAUGAUACGUAGCCGACCUGAGAGGGUAAUCGGCCACAUUGGGACUGAGACACGGCCCAAACUCCUACGGGAGGCAGCAGUAGGGAAUCUUCCACAAUGGGCGAAAGCCUGAUGGAGCAAUGCCGCGUGAGUGAAGAAGGUUUUCGGAUCGUAAAACUCUGUUGUUGAAGAAGAACAUGCGUGAGAGUAACUGUUCACGUACUGACGGUAUUCAACCAGAAAGCCACGGCUAACUACGUGCCAGCAGCCGCGGUAAUACGUAGGUGGCAAGCGUUGUCCGGAUUUAUUGGGCGUAAAGAGAAUGUAGGCGGUUUAUUAAGUUUGAAGUGAAAGCCCUCGGCUCAACCGAGGAAGUGCUUCGAAAACUGGUAAACUUGAGUGCAGAAGAGGAAAGUGGAACUCCAUGUGUAGCGGUGGAAUGCGUAGAUAUAUGGAAGAACACCAGUGGCGAAGGCGGCUUUCUGGUCUGUAACUGACGCUGAGAUUCGAAAGCAUGGGUAGCAAACAGGAUUAGAUACCCUGGUAGUCCAUGCCGUAAACGAUGAGUGCUAAGUGUUGGAGGGUUUCCGCCCUUCAGUGCUGCAGCUAACGCAUUAAGCACUCCGCCUGGGGAGUACGACCGCAAGGUUGAACUCAAAGGAAUUGACGGGGCCCGCACAAGCGGUGGAGCAUGUGGUUAAUUCGAGCA